rnacentral:rRNA from 1 species
AUUGAACGCUGGCGGCAGGCCUAACACAUGCAAGUCGAACGAGUGGCGGACGGGUGAGUAAUGUCUGGGAAACUGCCCGAUGGAGGGGGAUAACUACUGGAAACGGUAGCUAAUACCGCAUACCAUCGGAUGUGCCCAGAUGGGAGUAGCUUGUAGGUGAGGUAACGGCUCACCUAGGAGACGAUCCCUAGCUGGUCUGAGAGGAUGACCAGCCACACUGGAACUGAGCCACGGUCCAGACUCCGAGGGGAGGCAGAAGUGGGGAAUAGUGCACAAUGGUCGCAAGCCUGAUGAAGCCAUGCCGCGUGGAUGAAGAAGGCCUUCGGGUUGUAAAGUACUUUCAGCGGGGAGGCGUUACCCGCAGAAGAAGCACCGGCUAACUCCGUGCCAGCAGCCGCGGUAAUAC